GCAGAAAAAUUGCCUGAUGGGUAGGAUUAUGGGAUUAGUCAACUUUCCCAAAACAGGCCCAGAGGCUCUGGGUCCGAAAUGAGUUUUGGUCUGAGCCUUUCCCUGUGAUUAGUGACAGAUGUGUCAGGCCCACCCUCCUCCCUCUCCCAGCCUUGCCUCUUCUCUGAGUGCUAGGAACUCACGGUUACCAUAAUAAAACAGGCCCCAGAAAUAUGGGGGAAGGCAUGUUUCAGUGAAAACAAGCCUCAUCAUGCAGUGGCCCGGGGCCCAAGGAGAAAGGUAUUUCCGAUUGGACCAAGGGUCUGGCUUUGCCAGCUCCUCCCCAUCCUCACCAGAGAGCAGCCCCUCUGAGGCCACCCUGUACGAGAGGGGCUGAGGGGGCCCAUUAGGCCUGGAAUCUGUCUCAGAUUCCUGUCCGAACUCCCUGUGCCAUCUCUUUCUGGACCCCCAGCUCCCAGGGUCCCCCUACACUCUAGGACAGCUAGGUCCCCUGGCCCUUCUGGAUCCGGGCCUGCCUGCAGACUCAGUCGCUUUGUGAGCUGGCCUGUCCCAGUUCCAGAACUGGUGUCUCCCUGGAAACCAGCUCCUCAAGACCACUCAGUUGAGGCCAUCAUGCUGGGACCCUCAGACUCCUGAAGAUGUCUCUGCAGGACAGAUCUAAGCCAGGGAGGAAUGCCUCUUAAUGCCCUGCUUGGACUGAGAGAGUAUUAAGUUCCUUGCAAAGAAACCAUAUGCUCACAGCGGGUGUCCCUGUAGGGGGCGCUCUCCUUGGGGCUUUUUUCUUUCUAUAAAGGCUGACGGUGAGGCAGUAGAAUUUGUUCCUUCCCAGGAUGCCUGUGAUCGCUAGAGCUAGCAGAGCCUUCAUUUUAGCUCUUUGCCUCCCCCCACAUCUCCUGGUGGAGCUGGCCUGGUAGUCUGUCUGGAAAUGAGGUUCUGUUGCCAUGUGACAGCCACUGGGGCUGCCUGAACUUGGCUCCUCUGGGCUGCUAUAUCCCAGGCCACACCCAGAAUCCGGAGUUCCAAGCCCAGGCCAGAUCCCAGCGCACAACAGGACCAAGGGCUGAGUUCAGGCAGAGCCCAGAGCUCUGGUGAUGCCAGCUUCGGACCAGGCUGGAACUGAGGUCAAGGCUGAGCGCUGUCUCUCUCAAGGGAAGGGCUGGUCCUUCUUUUAGGGGUGUUGUAUAACCUGGGAAGUAGGUAGUUCUUUUGAGUAAAAGAAGUAAGAUUCAUUAAAUAUUAAAGCUGGACAGAAAUGUACAGGUCUCCUAAUUUUAGCUGGCAUCAGAAUCACCUGGAAGGCUUGUUAAAACAGAUUUCUGGGUUCUGGGUUUAGGAGGGGAUUUGCAUUUCUUUCUUGCCCUUCCUUCCUUCCUUCCUCCUUCCUUUCUUGCUUUCUUCCUUCCUCUCUCUCUCUUUCUUUUUUUGGUCUUUUUGGGAUCACAGUUGCAGCAUAUGGACGUUCCCAGGCUAGGGGUCGAAUCAGAGCUAUAGCUGCCAGUCCACAUUGCAGCUCACGGCAAUGCCGGAUCUCCAACCCACUGAGCAAGGCCAGGUACAAACCCGCAUCCUCAUACAUAGUAGUUAGGUUUGUUACCGCUGAGCCACUGCAGGGACUCCCAAGCUUUGUAUUUCUAACAAGUUCUCAAAUGAUAAUGGUGCUAAAGGGAACACACUUUGAGAAGCAUGGCACUAGCCCUCCUCUCCCAUUUCACAGAUGUAGACACCAAGACCUGGUGGGAAGAAGCCUCUUGAGCAAGGUCAGCAGCGGGGCUGACAGUGCAGCUGGGAGGGCAGGACUCCCAUCUCCCUGCCAAGGGACAUUCUGCUGCCCAGCCCUGCCUCAUGUCCUUAAGCCCAGGGUCACCCAGCUGGUAGCCAGCCCUCCUUGCUGCCUAUCACGGCCCAUUGAAUGCAGUUUAGCUCUGGCUAUGACUUAGGAAAUGGGUUCGUAGCACCCAGUUGGCACUGGGAAUGGAAGUGGCAUGUUUUGGCACAUCCUGGCCUCCUGUCUGAAAACUGUUUCUUUGGACGAUUCAGAACACGACUUUGGCUGAACCACAAAAUCAGACGGAAACCUUUAUCUUGGGCGGCACACUCUUGGUUUCCUCCCAUGCCCUUGCAGACUUGCGGAGUGGGGCCGCGUUGGACAGGGUGCAUCUGGGAAAGAUUCCAGGGGUCCUGGAGCGAUCAGACAAGGGUGUCAGGAACGAGCCUUCUGGGUUGCCCUUUGUGCCGAUCAUGGGGUGGCAGUGGAGGUGUUCAGAGGGGACUCAAGCUCUUUCAUUGGGGACGCUGGGGCAUCUGGGGUCCCUUGAGUGGGUUAAGGAUCUGGCUUUGCUGUGAGCUGUGGUGUAGGUCACAGACAUGACUCGUAUCCUGUGUUGCUAUGGCUGUGGUGUAGGCCGGCAGCUGUAGCUCUGAUUCGACCCGUAGGCUGGGAAUUUCCAUAUGCUGCAGGUGUGGCUCUAAAAAGACAAAAAAAAAAAAAAAAAAAAAAAAA
rnacentral:lncRNA from 1 species